UUUCCAGAAUUUAUAUGGGGUAGGCCUACAGGUGUUUGGUUAUUUUCGCUUGUAGGCCUACAUUCUUACUAAAAAUUGCAAUGAGUGCUCAUAUACGAAAGAAAUAUAAGAAGAUGUCUAUGGUUGUAGCUACUUAUUAUAGUAGCAAAGUCAAUAUUUCAUGGGAGAAGUUGCAGAGUAUAAAUUCAGACAUGACGACACAAACCUAGGCUUAAGGAGGGUCAUAAGGUAGUGAAGACUCGAGCUUAAGAGAGUAAUCUUUAUUUUUGUUUUCUUUUUGUAUAGAAUUGGUAUAUAAGCUCUUGUGAAAUAUUGGUGGAUAGAGGGUGUGUUCGGUUAGACCAUAUGAUCGAUAGGUAUAGAUAAGGAGGAGCAUUUAUAGAGGUUUGUCCAGACUUUUGAAAAGUCAACAUGAGGAAUGGAACGAUUUGGUUAAUGUCAACUAAUAUUACAUGAUUAAUCUAACACCCAAGCCGAGUACACACCAGCCAAGACGCCGACAUCCUGUCGCAAUUCAAUUACAGGAAAUGAG